CGGGUGAGUAACGCGUGGGUAACCUGCCUCACACAGGGGGAUAACAGUUGGAAACGGCUGCUAAUACCGCAUAAGCGCACGGCAUCGCAUGAUGCAGUGUGAAAAACUCCGGUGGUAUAAGAUGGACCCGCGUUGGAUUAGCUAGUUGGUGAGGUAACGGCCCACCAAGGCGACGAUCCAUAGCCGACCUGAGAGGGUGACCGGCCACAUUGGGACUGAGACACGGCCCAA
rnacentral:rRNA from 1 species